GGCAGACUCAAGCUGUUCUGUGCCCUGAGCUGAGGCUGCAACUGAAGCGAUUUCUUCCGCAGGUUCAUGAGUCGAGAUUAACGGAGAGGUUAUCAUCUCAAGACUUGCGGCAUGGACGGAAAGCAAGAGGCCACGUCUUCGCCAGCCUACACAGAAAGAGAGCAGGGUCCCGCCUCUGGCUACCAUCAACCCCAGCAGCCGCCCAUCACCAACCAAUACCCAGUCCCCCCAUACUCUAACCCAACACAACCGCAAGUGUAUUUCACCCAUCCAAAUCAGGGAGUCAUCUUUCCGCAGCCUCAGAUGGUGAUAACCACUCAGGCUAUUAACCCCGGCCCGCCCGACUACCUGAUUUUUUCCGUGUUCACGAUGCUAUGUUGUUUCUUUCCGACUGGGAUCCCAGCACUGAUUUUCUCCAUCAUGGUCCGAGACAACGUGUCGAAAGGAGACAUGGAGCACGCCAGACACUGCUCCGUGACUGCUCGGAAUCUCAACAUCUGUGGACUCAUUUUGGGAUUGAUUUGGAUUAUCAUUUCAAUUAUUCUUUCUUUUGUAUCU